GUUUAGAAUGUUUUUCCCUAUAAUCUUUGAAGAGCUGCCUCUUUCUCAUAGUUCACAUUCUACUAAACAACCUGCUUUCUCAGUUACCUUCCCUGACCAUCCCAUGUAAAGUAGUGUCUGUCCCCUGCUCUCAUCCCAAGGCAGUUCCUAUCACAUCCUAUUUUGUUAUUUUUCUAUAAUAUUUAUCACUACACAAAAUUACUUUAUUUCAGUGUUUUGUGUCUGUUUUAUCCCUCUCUCCCACCAGAAAAUGAGCUUCUAGAGUUUGGUUCUUUGUCUCUCUUGUUCUUCACAAUAUUCUUAGUGCCUAGAGCAAAGCCUGAUGCCUCACAAGUGCUCUAUAAAUGUUUGCUGACUGCCUGCCUGAUUCAACCAACAAAUGUAAUUGAAUAUCCACUGUCCACACAUCCUCAAAACAGACCCUUAACUUUUACUGUUAAGAGUGACCUAAGGACUAGAGAAAUCCACCUAAGUGAUUACCAAGGGGCUAAUGUCCAGUUCGUUUCUAAUGUUCAUUAUUAUCCACUUAAUUCACUGGAUCAACUGUUGUUUUUUUUUUCAUGCCUAGAAAAAUUUUUGGUUUGUUUUUGUAUUUACGCAUGGAGGAACUGAAGCUUGGCGAGAACAAGAGUGAAUUUUGGCCCAAGGUCACACAGAUGGAUGGGAGAAGAGAGAAAACAGAAAAGACAAUAGAAAAAGAAAAAAUGGGACAAGCAACCCUUGGAGGAAAGUACAACUGGUAUCAUCACCAUCUAACAGAUAACAAAAAUGGAGCAUUGGAGCAGUUAGAGCUCACAUUCAUGGACCUACACUGAUAGAACUUGGAGGAGUCCACAUCAAGCCUUCUUCAUAGUAAUUGAUGAAGAAAUUGGGGUCCAAAGAGUCCAGUCGUCAUUGGGACUAUAGACUGGGAAACUGGGCCUUGGUAGAACUCUUCAAAGUUGCUGAUGUGCCUUUCCGUGUGAGUACAAUGAACUCUUAUCUACCUUUUUGCUUUCAUUUUCUUGCUGGAAUGUGUCCUUUGUAAACAGUGACCCCAUAUUGUUAUCAGUCAAGUACAUGUUAGUUCAACAUGUUGUUUUUCAUAUUUAUAAAUGUGAAAAAUAAAAUUUUUAUCUUCCCAAAACUUAAAAAU
rnacentral:lncRNA from 1 species